AUGGAUAUACAGUAUAUUCUAAACCCGUACUCUUGCAUUGCCUAUAUCUGCAGCUACAUCAGCAGGGCCGAGCACGGUUUAAGCGAAUACCUUAAGACAAUGAUUGAGAACUCAAAUCAUGAAAAUCUCAAUGAAAGUGACGAGAUGAAACAAGUGAUGCAGGCGUACUCCAAAAAAAGAGAGGUCAGUGCUCAAGAGUGCGUCGCUCGUGCAUGUAGUCUUAACAUGAAACGGUGUUCCCGCAGCGUGAUAUUUGUACAGACUGAUGACAACCCGCUGAAAAUAAGUUAUCCCAUGUCGCACCUGGAGAACAAAACACCAGACUCGGUUAAUGUGUGGAUGACCGGCUUACCUGACAAGUACAAAUCGAGACCAGAAUCGCCAGAGUUUGAGUCAAUGUGUUUGGCUGAUUUCGCUGCCACUUGUAGAAUUGUCUAUGGCAAACAGGCCCAAGGUGCAAAAGCUAUUCCCCUGCUCAAUGAAAUGGGAUUCGUUCAGAAGAGAACAAAGGAUAAGCCCGCUGUCAUCAAGUAUUACCAUGUCUCGCUGGAAAAGAAACCUGAGCAAUUUCACGGCACAUUGCUAAAGCUUUACCUGCCUUAUCGCUCAGAGACACAGCUCAAGUCCAUAAACUUCCCCACUUACAAGUCCUUCCAUGACCAUGCAGGCGUUCAGCUACCUGGUUCAGAGUACGCCGAGCUAGUGUCUGACAUUGUGAAACGAAACCGAGAGAAAUGUGAGAAACACAGGGAGGACAUCGAUAGUGCCAUCGCAGAAUACAAACAGAAUGGUUGCAUAAGAAACGAAUGGUGUAAUCUGGCUCCUGAAUGCGAACUGCAAAGGUUAGAGUGCAUUGAAGAACUUCACGCGAGACCAGCCGAUGAGGAUAACGUCCAAGAGAAUGUGCCAGACUAUAACCUUAGGUCAGAAAAUAGACCAGAAGCUGCCAUCAUGAGUGAAGCCCCUGAGAUGGAUCCGACAGUGGUGAAACAAAUGUAUCGAAGCUUAAACCAAAAGCAGGCGUCUGUUUUCUAUGCCAUCAGAGACUGGUGC
rnacentral:lncRNA from 1 species